GACGAACGCUGGCGGCGUGCUUAACACAUGCAAGUCGAACGGAAAGGCCCUGCUUUUGUGGGGUGCUCGAGUGGCGAACGGGUGAGUAACACGUGAGUAACCUGCCCUUGACUUUGGGAUAACUUCAGGAAACUGGGGCUAAUACCGGAUAGGGGCUCCUGCUGCAUGGUGGGGGUUGGAAAGUUUCGGCGGUUGGGGAUGGACUCGCGGCUUAUCAGCUUGUUGGUGGGGUAGUGGCUUACCAAGGCUUUGACGGGUAGCCGGCCUGAGAGGGUGACCGGCCACAUUGGGACUGAGAUACGGCCCAGACUCCUACGGGAGGCAGCAGUGGGGAAUAUUGCACAAUGGGCAGAAGCCUGAUGCAGCAACGCCGCGUGCGGGAUGACGGCCUUCGGGUUGUAAACCGCUUUCGCCUGUGACGAAGCGUGAGUGACGGUAAUGGGUAAAGAAGCACCGGCUAACUACGUG
rnacentral:rRNA from 1 species